GUUUCAAACUUGUUACAACAAACUGGGAAGAAGCAGUGUGAAGACAACUUGUUGACAGCUUGUGAACAGACUUGUAACAACUUGUUUGCAGACUUGUUACAAGCUGUGCAUUUUUACAUGUGCAGGUGAACUCAGCGUAUACAUGUAAAAAUGCACAAGUUGUAACAAACCUGCAGCAGAUUUGUAGCAAUGCUGCUACAACAACUUGUCAACAGGAUGUGUUCGCACUGCUUGUUCCCAGUUUGUUGACAAGUUGUCAAC
rnacentral:miRNA from 1 species